rnacentral:rRNA from 1 species
GAUGAACGCUGGCGGCGUGCCUAAUACAUGCAAGUCGAGCGAACAGACGAGGAGCUUGCUCCUCUGACGUUAGCGGCGGACGGGUGAGUAACACGUGGAUAACCUACCUAUAAGACUGGGAUAACUUCGGGAAACCGGAGCUAAUACCGGAUAACAUGUUGAACCGCAUGGUUCAACAGUGAAAGACGGUCUUGCUGUCACUUAUAGAUGGAUCCGCGCCGCAUUAGCUAGUUGGUAUGGUAACGGCUUACCAAGGCAACGAUGCGUAGCCGACCUGAGAGGGUGAUCGGCCACACUGGAACUGAGACACGGUCCAGACUCCUACGGGAGGCAGCAGUAGGGAAUCUUCCGCAAUGGGCGAAAGCCUGACGGAGCAACGCCGCGUGAGUGAAGAAGGUCUUCGGAUCGUAAAACUCUGUUAUUAGGGAAGAACAAAUGUGUAAGUAACUAUGCACGUCUUGACGGUACCUAAUCAGAAAGCCACGGCUAACUACGUG